rnacentral:lncRNA from 1 species
AUAAGAAUCGAUAAUAUUUUGAAUGAUCGUCUUCGCAUGAAUGUCUUUUAGCCAAAGUCGUAAAAUAUAAAAAUAUAAAUAAAUCUACCUCAUUCUUGAUUUCAAUAUGGUAUCAUAGCAGAGGCCUUAAGUUUGAAUCCUGCCUUCGCAUUCUUCACCCAUUAAAAAAAAGUCUAAUUUGAGAUAAUAAAUUGACAGUAACGUGAUUUGAUAGAGCCGUUAGAAAACUGGAACGGGGGAUUUGAAGAUGCUCUUGCUACUGGGAGAAGAGCUUUCCUUUGUGAUAUGAUCUCAUGAUCUCCCACGUUACGUAUAGAUUUCUGGUCGGUGCCUUUUUGUUAUCCCUAAAUCUAUAUUCGGUUGGAAAUUUUUGUCACCUAAGAUGGAACAAAAAGCUUGAGAUGCCUCUUAAAAU